UUUUUAUCAACUCCAAUGAACAUUAACAUUUUUGAUGCUCAAGGGACUGCUAAAUAUCAAUUUGAUUACAUUUUCUUCAACUUUCAUGUUGUACUGCCUCCA